rnacentral:rRNA from 1 species
UACGAAGGGGGCUAGCGUUGCUCGGAAUCACUGGGCGUAAAGGGUGCGUAGGCGGCUCUUUAAGUCAGGGGUGAAAUCCUGGAGCUCAACUCCAGAACUGCCUUUGAUACUGAAGAUCUUGAGUUCGGGAGAGGUGAGUGGAACUGCGAGUGUAGAGGUGAAAUUCGUAGAUAUUCGCAAGAACACCAGUGGCGAAGGCGGCUCACUGGCCCGAUACUGACGCUGAUGCGCGAAAGCGUGGGGAGCAAACAGG